UACAGAGGUCCCGAGCGUUGUUCGGAUUCAUUGGGCGUAAAGGGUGCGUAGGUGGCAUGGUAAGUCGGGUGUGAAAUUUCGGAGCUUAACUCCGAAACUGCAUUCGAUACUGCGGUGCUUGAGGACUGGAGAGGAGACUGGAAUUUACGGUGUAGCAGUGAAAUGCGUAGAGAUCGUAAGGAAGACCAGUGGCGAAGGCGGGUCUCUGGACAGUUCCUGACACUGAGGCACGAAGGCCAGGGGAGCAAACGGG
rnacentral:rRNA from 1 species